rnacentral:misc_RNA from 1 species
UACGGAGGUGGCGAGCGUUACUCGGAAUCAUUGGGUGUAAAGGGCAAGUAGGCGGCCAGUUAAGUGAGGGGUGAAAUCUUCCGACUCAAUCGGGAAAUUGCCUUUCAAACUAGCUGGCUUGAGAUCGGAAGAGGGAAGCGGAAUUAGCGGUGUAAGGGUGAAAUCUGUAGAUAUCGCUAAGAACACCGGCGGCGAAGGCGGCUUCCUGGUCCGACUCUGACGCUGAACUGCGAAAGCUAGGGGAGCGAACAGA